AUUUUUAAGACUAAAAGUCAACAUUUUUGACAAUUCUUUUAUUUUUAGGGACUGGUGUUAUUUUUUGAUCUAUCUAAAGACC
rfam:Populus trichocarpa scaffold_5_contig_246, whole genome shotgun sequence.